rnacentral:rRNA from 1 species
UAUGGCUGUCGUCAGCUCGUGUCGUGAGAUGUUGGGUUAAGUCCCGCAACGAGCGCAACCCUUGCCAUUAGUUGCUACGAAAGGGCACUCUAAUGGGACUGCCGGGGUCAACUCGGAGGAAGUGGGAUGACGUCAAAUCAUCAUGCCCCUUAUGUCUUGGGCUUCACGCAUGCUACAAUGGCCGGUACAAAGGGCUGCGAUACCGCGAGGUGGAGCGAAUCCCAGAAAGCCGGUCUCAGUUCGGAUUGGGGUCUGCAACUCGACCCCAUGAAGUCGGAGUCGCUAGUAAUCGCAGAUCAGCAACGCUGCGGUGAAUACGUUCCCGGGCCUU